GACGAACGCUGGCGGCGUGCUUAACACAUGCAAGUCGAACGGUAAGGCCCUUCGGGGUGCACGAGUGGCGAACGGGUGAGUAACACGUGGGUGAUCUGCCCUGCACUUCGGGAUAAGCCUGGGAAACUGGGUCUAAUACCGGAUAGGACCACUGCCUGCAUGGGUGGUGGUGGAAAGCUUUUGCGGUGUGGGAUGGGCCCGCGGCCUAUCAGCUUGUUGGUGGGGUGAUGGCCUACCAAGGCGACGACGGGUAGCCGGCCUGGGAGGGUGACCGGCCACACUGGGACUGGGAUACGGCCCAGACUCCUACGGGAGGCAGCAGUGGGGAAUAUUGCACAAUGGGCGCAAGCCUGAUGCAGCGACGCCGCGUGAGGGAUGACGGCCUUCGGGUUGUAAACCUCUUUCAGCACCGACGAAGCGCAAGUGACGGUAGGUGCAGAAGAAGGACCGGCCAACUACGUGCCAGCCGCCGCGGUAA
rnacentral:rRNA from 1 species